ACUGAGCCACCCAGGAACCUUGAAAUUUCCUUUUUAUUAUUAAUAAAUAUACUUAAUUAUUAAGAAAUAAUGCGCAGUGGGAUUUAUAGCAUUAGUAGAAAUAAAAUAUACUAUGUAGCACAAAGAGGAAACGUGGAUACGGAGACAUACUCUUAUAAGGUUCUUAAACUAUAUUUGAAGUGACAAUAAUAUUAUCUUAACUUGGACUCUGGUAAGCUAAAGAAGUAUGUGGUAAACCCUAGAGCAACCACGAGAAAUAAAACUGAGGUGUAGCUGACAGUAAAGAUACAAUAGGAUCAUAAAAUUAAUCUCAUAAACUUACUAAUAUAAAAGUUACAGAAAUAUUAGAGAAGGGAAACAAAGAGCUGAUAGAACAAAUAGAACACAGUAAGAUGAUGGAUUUAGUUUCAACAUUAUUGACCCUGUACCCACAUUGGCCUAUUGUGCUAUCUAAUACUAUAGUCACAUUUGGUUACUAGGCACAUGAUAUGUGGGUAGGCUGAAUUGAAAUGUGAUGUGAGCGUAAAAUGUGCACUACAUUUCCAAGACUUAGCAUGAGUUAAAAUAAUAUAAAAUAUUUCACUAGUAUAUGUUUCCAUUGAUUAUGUGUUUAAAUGACAAUAUUUUGGAUAUAUUUGGAUUAAUAAAAUAAAGUAUUGAAAUAAUAUUUCUCCCAUUUUUGAGUGUCUACUAAAAUUUUUUUUUAAAAAAAUACAUAGGUGACUGAUAUUUAUGGCUCACAUUUUAUUUUUAUUGGAUAGCACCGGUCCAAACACUCCAACUAAAAGUAAAUAUUCUCAGAUUGGAGAAAAACCAAGACCUAUAUAUAUGUUGUCUACAGGAAACCCACUGUAAGUAUAAAGACGUAAGUUAAAAGUUUAAGACUGGAAAAAGUUAUAACGUGAAAACACUACUUAAAUAAAAGCUGAAGUGUUCAUAUUAUAUCAGACAAAACAGGCUUCAGAACAAGGAAAAAUUCCAGGGCCAAGAGAGACAUUAUAUAAUAAUGUCAUUAUAUAAUAUAUAAUAAAGAGUUCAAUUCAUCAAGAAACUAUGAUAAUUCUAAAUAAAACCCAGAAGUGAACUUCGAAAUAUGAGAACUUUGAAAUAAGAUGCACAAUGCCAUCUUAAUAAAUUCUAAAUCAAGCUAAAACACUUUAUUCAGGCUGAAGGCAAAUGAUAUCAGAUAUGUAUCUUCAGAAAGAAAAUGAAGAACAGUGAAAAAGGUAGAUAUCUGGGUAAAUACUAAACAGUGUGUCUCUUUUCUCAUGAAAUAUAUAUCCUAUAUAUAAAUAUAUGUAAUGUUGUGUAUGUAAUGUUUAAGGCAACAAUGUUUAUACACAUACUAUAAGGUCUGUGUAAGGCAAAAUUACAACUUAUCUUCAUGGAUAUAUAACCUGUGUAGAUGUAAUAUGUAUGAAAAUUUUAGCUAAAUGAUGGGGGUCUUGGUGACCUGGCCUAUAUCGUUGUACUGUUCCUACAAUUUAUAUAAAGUGGUACAAUUCUAACUCUAUAGUGGUUAUGAAAAGCUAAAUAUAUGCACUGUAAUUCUGAGAAUACACAAAAUGCAAAAAGCUAUAGUUAAUGAACCAAUAGAUAACAUUAAAUUUCAGAAAUACUCAAAUAAUCCAAAAAAGCAAGGAGUAGAGUAACAAAAAACAAUAAAGGGGACAAAUGAAAAACCACAAUGAAAUGGCAGAUCUAAAUUGAGCCAUAUCUAUAAUUACAUUAACUAUGAGAACUAAACACCCAGUUUAAAAGCUCUGCCCAGACAAAAGUAAGACCCAGCUAUGUGCUAACAGAGAUGUAGUUUAAUCACAAAUAUAUAGAAAAAUGCAGAGAUUCUAAGACAAAGAAGCAUGACCCAGUUAAUAAGAGAUGUACUUAAAACUUAAAGAUUAAGAUAAAUUCAAAGUAAAAGAAUGAAGGUGAAAAAUGUAUAACAUACACAUAGUAAACAAAAGAAGGCUGGAGUUGCUGUAUUAAUAAUAGAUCAAAUCAACUUCACACAGAGUAUUACUAAAGAUAGAGGUGUCAUAAUGAUAAAGGUAAUUUCAUUAUCAAAGCAUAAUAGUUAUAACUAUGUGUGUGUUUAAGAAUAGAGCUUCAAAAUAGUUGAUGCAAAAAUUGACAGAAUUAGACAAACAGAUAAUUAGAAAAUAUAAACAGAUCUUGAGAGAGAUUUUUCUCCUCUUUCAGAAAUCGAUAAACUAGAUUUAAAAUAUCAGUAAAGAUAUAGAUGAUCCGAACAACACAAUCAAUCAACCAUCGUGACCUAGCUGACCUUGACAGAAUGCUACUGACAAUGCAGUCAUUCAAGUGCACAUGAUACAUCUACCAAGGUAGAUCAUGUUCUGGGUCACAAAAUGAGUUUUCAUAAAUUUCAAAGGAUUUAAAUCAUAUCAGACAAAUAUAUCGCAUAUUAAACUUUCUUUAAAGUAAGACAACACCUCUUUUUCUUGCCAUGUUCCCUGACCACAAUAAAAUUAAAUUGGAAAUCAAUAACAACUAAAUGUCUAGGAAAGCCCUGAACAUUUGGAAACUAAACAAACCCCUGUAAAUAAUCUAUGGGUAAGAAAAGAAAUAACAAAACAGGAUAUAUUUUGAUACUGGCUUCCUUUCUCUUUUUCCAACCCCAACCCACUGGGCAAGCUCUGGUCCUUGUGCCUUUGAACUGGCCCUCUAAGACACUCUUCAGCAGACAUCUGCAUAGCUUCGUUCUCUCGGUUCUGAUGGUGGCUAAAGGAUGUACAAGAAACAAAAAUGACAGGAAAAUCCUAGAAUUCAAGUACUGCUUCUGCCUCUCCUCUUGGGCAGAGAAGAAGCCACAGCCUCGUGGACUUGAACUCUACACAUGCUCUGAUUAGCUCCCAGCAAAAAUGAAAGCGUGCCUCAAGCAUGUUUCUGGAGCUUUUCCUCUUCAGCCUUCAUUCCGUUUUGGAACUCUGCUGUGCAACCUCAGCAUUCUCCCUGCAGUUUCUAUUUCCUCAACUCAGUAAGACUUUGAGGAUAUGCUUAGCACCCUCUUCCUGUGCCCAUUGCAACGAAGCAGCAAACUGAGGUGAGGAUAUGGCUGGUCUUGUUUGUUUCCUUUCUCUCGGGAUCACUGUUUUGUUCUAUUGUACGACGCCCAAAACCAACUGGCGCAUAUAUUUUGUUCAAUUAUCUAAUUGUCUGCCUCAAAAGAGCAAGUCCAGUCUUUGCUAUUCCAUCAGGCCCGAUGGCAAAAGUUUGGCCAUUCUUAGUGUUGGAUGUCAAGUUAUAAACAGUACUCACUGGCUAGGCAGCCACCUUCGUGCAACCUAGGUGCAGCUGUCCACUGUUUAAGGUACUCGGUCACCAUCCUCCGCAGAUUGUGUAACGUGCCGCAGUUAAGGAAUGUGCCACUCUGUGAUGGCUGUGACGUGAGUAGCGAUCCCGGAGUCGUGCAGAGUAGAACUUAACACGUGCAGGAACUGUGGCUCUGGCAGAAUUCUAGAACUGAAAAUUUGCUGCCGCCGAGCCACGGCGAAUUCUGUUUGCAGAAUAAAAUGGGUGCAAUGGUAUUACUUUUUUGUUAGAGGCUAUCUUGGCUCGAGGGGUUUCCUAGGACAGAUUAGAAAUGUGUUGACUGCUGAAGGAAACAGAA